GGGAUAGAUACCCCACUAUGCCUAGCCGUAAACUUUGACUUACACUAAUCGCCUGGGAACUACGAGCUAAGCUUAAAACCCAAAGGACUUGACGGUACCCCAAAUCCACCUAGAGGAGCCUGUCCUAUAAUCGAUAAUCCCCGUUAAACCUUACCACUUCUUGUUAAUCAGCCUGUAUACCUCCGUCGCCAGCUUACCGCAUGAGCGUUAUUAAGUGAGCCUAAUGCCUACACGCCAAUACGUCAGGUCAAGGUGCAGUUUAUGAAGUGGAGAGAGAUGGGCUACACUUUCUAUUUUAGAAGAAACGAAAGACUACCUAUGAAAUCUAGUCAGAAGGAGGAUUUAGUAGUAAAAAGAAAGCAGAGUGUUCUUUUUAAUUUGGCACUGGGGUGUGUACACACCGCCCGUCACCCUC
rnacentral:rRNA from 1 species